AUUGAACGCUGGCGGCAGGCCUAACACAUGCAAGUCGAGCGAGCGGCGGACGGGUGAGUAAUGUCUGGGAAACUGCCUGAUGGAGGGGGAUAAAUACUGGAAACGGUAGCUAAUACCGAAUACAGUCAGAGGUGCCCAGCUGGGGUUAGAUGGUAGGUGGGGGAACGGCUCACCUAGGCGACGGUCCCUAGCUGGCCGGAGAGGAGGACCAGCCAAACUGGAACUGAGACACGGUCCAUGCUCCUACGGGAGGCAGCAGAGGGGAAGAUUGCACAAUUGGCGCAAGCCUGAUGCAGCCAUGCCGCGUGUGUGAAGAAGGCCUUCGGGUUGUAAAGCACGUUCAGCGGGGAGGCGUUACCCGCAGAAGAAGCACCGGCUAACUCCGUGCCAGCAGCCGCGGUAAUAC
rnacentral:rRNA from 1 species